rnacentral:rRNA from 1 species
GUCGAACGAGUUCUGAUUAUUGAAAGGUGCUUGCAUCUUGAUUUUAGUUGUGAACGAGUGGCGGACGGGUGAGUAACACGUGGGUAACCUGCCCUUAAGUGGGGGAUAACAUUUGGAAACAGAUGCUAAUACCGCAUAAAUCCAAGAACCGCAUGGUUCUUGGCUGAAAGAUGGCGUAAGCUAUCGCUUUUGGAUGGACCCGCGGCGUAUUAGCUAGUUGGUGAGGUAACGGCUCACCAAGGCAAUGAUACGUAGCCGAACUGAGAGGUUGAUCGGCCACAUUGGGACUGAGACACGGCCCAAACUCCUACGGGAGGCAGCAGUAGGGAAUCUUCCACAAUGGACGCAAGUCUGAUGGAGCAACGCCGCGUGAGUGAAGAAGGCUUUCGGGUCGUAAAACUCUGUUGUUGGAGAAGAAUGGUCGGCAGAGUAACUGUUGUCGGCGUGACGGUAUCCAACCAGAAAGCCACGGCUAACUACGUGCCAGCAGCCGCGGUAAUACGUAGGUGGCAAGCGUUAUCCGGAUUUAUUGGGCGUAAAGCGAGCGCAGGCGGUUUUUUAAGUCUGAUGUGAAAGCCCUCGGCUUAACCGAGGAAGUGCAUCGGAAACUGGAAAACUUGAGUGCAGAAGAGGACAGUGGAACUCCAUGUGUAGCGGUGAAAUGCGUAGAUAUAUGGAAGAACACCAGUGGCGAAGGCGGCUGUCUGG